rnacentral:rRNA from 1 species
UACGGGGGGGGCAAGCGUUGUUCGGAAUUACUGGGCGUAAAGGGCUCGUAGGUGGCCAACUAAGUCAGACGUGAAAUCCCUCGGCUUAACCGGGGAACUGCGUCUGAUACUGGAUGGCUUGAGUUUGGGAGAGGAAUGCGGAAUUCCAGGUGUAGCGGUGAAAUGCGUAGAUAUCUGGAGGAACACCGGUGGCGAAGGCGGCAUUCUGGACCAAUACUGACGCUGAGGCGCGAAAGCGUGGGGAGCAAACAGG